rnacentral:lncRNA from 1 species
GUAUUUAGCAGGAAUCCUCCGAGGAACGAGGAGUGGAAAGAAGACAUCACGGAGCCCCUGGUGGCUGGUGUGACUUUGCCAUGGGCAGGCUCCAUGCCAAUAGCUGACUGCAUUUAAAGAACCAAGGGUCGGGUUUGAUUAGUUGCAAAGAUAUUUGAAAUAUUAAAGGGAGUUUCCAUUGUUGCUCAGCGAGUUGUGGACCUGACUAGUACCAUGAGGAUGUGUGUUAGAUCCCUGGCCUUGCUCAGUGGCUGCUGGCCUACACCACAGCCACAGCAACACCAGAUCUGAGCUACGUCUGCGACCUACACCACAGCUCACGGCAAGGCUGGAUCCUUAACCCACUGAGCGAGGCCAGGGAUCGAACCCGGAACCUCAUGGUUCCUAGUUGGAUUCAUUUCUGCUGUGCCACGACGGGAACUCCUGAAAAAAAAUUUUAAGAAUAUCACUUAAGAUACAGUCAAUUAAUUACUUGCCUAUGACUCACAUAUGGCCCUGGCUAGAAGUUUAUGUUUUUUUUAGUGCAUUGCUAGGCGAAAUGUUAAAAAAAUGCUGUCACUGGAAAACAUAUGUGGAGUGUCAACUAGUGACGUGCAGAGCCUUUUCCUGGUCAUGAGAUUUGAACAGUAUUUUGUGUAGAAAACAUUUGGGAACAAGGCAGGGGUAGAAUGGACUCUAUAUGAACUUUCUCCGUGGGGUGGCGCUCUUACCAUCUGACACAGGAGUUGGAAAUCAGGCGUAGGUAUGAAACAAGUGUGCCUGGACCGUCCCAAAGCAUAGAUAAUUGAGAGAGCACUCAUGAUUCUGUAAUGUAGAAAAAAUCGUAUUCAUAGCCUUAAAUUAGAGAAACUCAGCUUGACCGGAUGAAAAGUCUGAGGGAAACAUUCAGAAAAAGUCGGCUUUAUUAACUACACAGUAGGACGGGGAGACGUGUGGUUGUACAACUUGAAAUGAAUACAAAUAAUUUGUGGUUAUCAUAUUUAUUAUUAAAACAAAAAGGCUGCUGCUCAGAUGGUAUUUGGAAAAAAGCAUGUCAUCUUUGCUUAUGGAUGCGUUUAUUCAAAUGUCAUAUAUUCAAAAAUACAUUUAUGUAUUGUAUGUAUAUGCUAUAUUAUAUAUAAUAUAUAUAAUCUCAGUAUGUGCUCAUGUAUUCUUUUUUCUACUAGUUUCAUGGUGAUAUGAAUUACAUAAUUAAAGUCACUUUUUUUUUUUCUUUUUAUGGCCACACCUGCGGCAUAUGGAAGUUUCCGGGUGUAGGGGUCAAAUCAGAGCUGCUGUUACAGACUACACAGCCAUGGCUACACCAGACUGGAGCCACAUCUGCGACCUGCCCUGCAGCUUGCAGCAAUGCUGGAUGCUUAACACACUGAUUGAGGCCAGGAAUUGAACCUGUAUCCUCGCAAAGACGGUGUCGGGGCUUUAACCUGGUGAGCCACAGUGGAAACUCCAAGUCACCAUUUUUAAGUGUACAGUUUAAUGGUUUUAGUAAAUUCCUGGAGUUUUGCACCAUCACUGCAAUCCAGUUUUAUAACAUUUCCAUUACUCCCCAAAGAUCCCUUGUGCCUACUUCCAGUUACUCUCCAUUCCCACACCCAACUCCAAUCUUGGUAGAGUUAUUUUUCUGGACGCGAUGCUGGGGACCAUAUCUUCUGUGUCCUACCCUCAAGUAAAAUGACUAGAAUGGGGGACCCACCUUUUGAUACUUUAGUGACUACCUUGGUUAAGGCAAGCUUUCUGUUGAGAGAAAUGACUACAUGGAAAGCUUAGAAGUCAAAGAGAUCUCUGAAGAUCUUCUCUUUAGGGAAGCAGUACAGUUUAAGUGUGAGCUCUGGAAUGAGGCACACGCUUGAGUUUAACGCCUAGCUCUACUGCCUUCUGGAAGCGUGACCACAGCAAAAUAAUUUAACCUCUCUAAAGUGUUCGUUUCUUCGUAUGUAAAAAUAGGGUUGUUGGAACACAGCAGGAAGUAAUGUCCGCACAGUGCCUGGCAUCCCAUGUGUAUUCUAUAGACACAUUACUUAUAGCCAUUUUUAACCUUUCUCAUCAAGAAUAGUCUACCCAGUUUUUGACUCUAGUGUAAACUUCAGAAUUUUUCGGCAAUUCAUUGUGCUUCGCUGCAAUUCACUGUGAUGUCGUAUCAUGUUUCCUUUGCAUUUAACCCAGACUUUUGGGUUGUUCACUAAGGAAUAGCUGGAUGCUAUAGAAGGUCAUAUUAUUUCCCGAAAAUAUUCUGACUUUACCGACUACAUGCGUAACUCCGGUGCUUGUGAUUGUUGUGUGGGAGAUACGAAGAAGGUGCAGCGGAGGCAUGAACAACUCACUUGGAAACAAGCAAGUCACCAGAAAUCAAAGGUGAAUUAAACAAGUAUUUAGAGACACAAACAGUGAUGCUUCUACUUGACCAGCAAUUUUGCUCCUGAAUACCUAUUGAAAAGAAAGAAUUUUAAAUGCAGCAAAGAUUUUUGAACAGAGACUUAGCCAAACAUCAAUUAUACUUGGAAAUAGAAGGAGAGGGCUAUUGAGAUAUUCCUUGAAGGAUGAAUGGAAUUUCAAUAUGCAGGAAAUGGCAAGAAAGGGCAUUUCAGAGGAAGUGAACUUCAACUUCAUCCAUUCAUUUAUGUUUUCAUUCAUCAAAUAUGUGAGUGCCUGCUUGUAUCAUCAGCUUUUACUAGAUCAUUCUGAAGUAAAGAACAACACCAAAAAUCUUAGUGGCUUAAAAAAAAAAAAAAAAAAAA